AUUAUCAAAAAGAGCACCCUGAAUGAACCUGAUCGUGUCUGAUCUCAGAAGCUAAGCAGGGUCAGGCCUGGUUAGUACUUGGAUGGGAGACCACCUAGGAAUACCAGGUGCUGUAGGUG
rnacentral:rRNA from 1 species